UCUCAUUCUGGAAUAUUGUAAUUCUGUUUUAGGAAUUACGUUAUGAAUAUUAGAAGAUGAACAUCAUAGGUUCUAAGCUGUAUAUUUUUUAUAUGAAAUAUACAAUAAUGACAAUUAAAUAUUCUAACUUUGAUCCCAAAAGUUUAUAUAUGGAGGAAAAGACAGACCAGACAGGAGUCAUAUGCAAGUAUCAAUCUCAUGUUGCUAAUGCUUGCCAAAGUUUGUGUCUUUUUCAUGUGGAUGAUGUUCACCAUUUAGGAAAGCAAAUGCUAGAAGUUGUCCCUUAUAGGUUAUUUUCUGUUAGGCCUGUUGCCUAUUCACAUGUGAGG